rnacentral:rRNA from 1 species
GACGAACGCUGGCGGCGUGCUUAACACAUGCAAGUCGAACGGAAAGGCCCUGCUUUUGUGGGGUGCUCGAGUGGCAAACGGGUGAGUAACACGUGAGUAACCUGCCCUUGACUUUGGGAUAACUUCAGGAAACUGGGGCUAAUACCGGAUAGGAGCUCCUGCUGCAUGGUGGGGGUUGGAAAGUUUCGGCGGUUGGGGAUGGACUCGCGGCUUAUCAGCUUGUUGGUGGGGUAGUGGCUUACCAAGGCUUUGACGGGUAGCCGGCCUGAGAGGGUGACCGGCCACAUGGGGACUGAGAUACGGCCCGGACUCCUACGGGAGGCAGCAGUGGGGAAUAUUGCACAAUGGGGGAAGCCUGAUGCAGCAACGCCGCGUGCGGGAUGACGGCCUUCGGGUUGUAAACCGCUUUCGCCUGUGACGAAGCGUGAGUGACGGUAAUGGGUAAAGAAGCACCGGCUAACUACGUG